GAAACAGCUACAGAGCUGCAUCAAGCAGAAGCAACCUUCCAGGUAGAGAUGAGAAUAUCACCAGGACCUCAGCAUGUGUUGGUAAUUACAGUGCACACUAAAAGAAAAUAUUGGAGGCCUGGGGAAGAAGCUAUCACAACUCUCAGAAUAUAUGGUGACCUGGAUGCGGAGCAGCAGGAGUGGACACGGAGUAAGGGAAAAGGUCCUGAACCAGACAUUACAGCUGGAUGCAGGUGUGUAUGGGAUUUAUGGGGAAGCACCAGUGGCUGGCAGAGAACAAGGGCAGAGGGGCCCCAAUGCAAGAUAUUAACUGAGCCUGGCCUGGAAACCAGAGUUCAUCUAUUUGCUUGGAUAGAGACUGGACUGAAGAGAGCACUGCAGGCAUCAGGGUUGAGGUUCCCUGAUUCUCAAUUGGACUGCCCCAGGGACCCAAACAUUUACCACUAUUGUUCAUCUUGAACUAACUGUUUAAGCCUCUGUACCUAGGCAAUCUUUCCCUUCCCUUCUAGCCAUAGGCAAAUAACCUUUCCCUUAGCCAUGUGACCCACCAGGGCUAGUGCCUGCAAGGCCUAGAUGCUUAAGCAUCUUUAGAGCUUGUCUCAGAGUCUUGGUGCACUAGGCAUGCUACUGGUACUCUAGGGAUUUGCUGUACUCUGGCACUGAGCAGCAGCAAUAAUUACAAGAGUAAAGAGCCACUAAGUGACAAUUAAAGGAAAGGAGACCAAAUCUACACCUUUACAUGACUGUGAUCAAACUUUUGAGCCAGUGGUAACCCUUUUCUUGUCUCGGCCAGCACCCACUUCCCCUCCUCCUAACCCACUGUCAAUUCUCCCCGUGAGAUGGCCAAUUCUCCAUCUCUUUUGGAGUGUCCUUCCUUAUCUCCCCCCAAACAGAUCCUUUGUGGGAGCAAUAUUUAAAUGCCAACAGGAGGCAAAGCUUCUCCCUGGAUAGGAAUUGGUGUAUACUGCCCCUUCCUGUUUUCAGUUAAGUCUAUUUCACAUUUCAGUUCAUACACACAAGCUGCUUGCAGAGAAGCAAACUUUGAAAACAGGGUUUUAUACUAUAUGACUACUCUGGAAUGAAUCCAGCUUUCUUUUAUCUCGCCACACUGAUGUUUCAGCAUGUUUCUCAUGAUUGAUUUUGCAAACAAUUUAUUAUGCUGUACAUCUUUCCAUCUACCCAUUAGACACACAUAGGUGGAGGAGCAGAGGAGUGAGAGAGGGUGAGAAGGAACAGCAUCAUAUUGUAAAUCAAAAUACAUGUCAGAAGAAUCCUGCAUUGGGGUAAGGCAGAAAGAAAAUUCAGUAACCAACCAUAGUGAAGAACAGUCAAGAUAAGUAGUCAAAAUGCCAAAGAGCACAAUGAAGAGAAACAAUGGAUCUCUGAGUUUUAAGAGAAAUUCUCAGCAGCGUGCAAGUUACCAGCUGCCAACAGGAGCGGCUCUUCAGUAUACAUUUAUAGAUUUAUUAGAUUUUCUCAAAUCAUGUUUGUAGAUCAGUUUAUUGUUGAUUAUACUAGCAGUACUUAAAUUCCCUUAUAAAUACUCCUAAUUCCUUAAAAAAAAAAAAAAGGCC